UGCUUUUGGUAUCCUCACUAAUAAAUGGCGCAUACUUACCACCAGCAUUCAAGUAAAGGCGGAAUCCGUGGACUCUGUGAUUAAAGCAUGUGUGGUUCUGCAUAAUUUUGUAAUAAAAUUGGAGCCAGGGUCCAUCCCCACCAUGGAGGAAAUAGCAGAGGUCGAACUUUCUGGACUGGAGCCUAACCCAAUCAGAUCAAGUGUUUCAGUGAUGCAGAUACGUGAACAGUUUUGCAACUACUUUUCAUCAGAGCAAGGUGCAUUGCCAUGGCAGCAUACAAUAUGAAUAUUGCAAGAGACAACUGGAAAUCCCAUACCUCCAUUGCUGAAACAUCACAAUUGUGUCCAUUGUAUUAUAGUUCUAUUAUGAUUUUGAAUAAAACACCACACUGUACAACUUUAAA